rnacentral:rRNA from 1 species
GACGAACGCUGGCGGCGUGCUUAACACAUGCAAGUCGAACGGAAAGGCCCUGCUUUUGUGGGGUGCUCGAGUGGCGAACGGGUGAGUAACACGUGAGUAACCUGCCCUUGACUUUGGGAUAACUUCAGGAAACUGGGGCUAAUACCGGAUAGGAGCUCCUGCUGCAUGGUGGGGGUUGGAAAGUUUCGGCGGUUGGGGAUGGACUCGCGGUUUAUCAGCUUGUUGGUGGGGUAGUGGCUUACCAAGGCUUUGACGGGUAGCCGGCCUGAGAGGGUGACCGGCAACAUGGGAACUGGGGAAGGCCCAGAGCUCCACAGGGGGGAAGGGGUGGGAAAAUUGGCCAACUGGGCGGAGGCCGGGUGGAGCAUCGCCGGGUGGGGAAGAACGUCAUUCGGGUUGUAAGCGGCUUUCGCUGGUACCGAACCGUGGGGAAGGGAAAAGGAGAAGAAGGCACGGCUAAAUUAGUG